rnacentral:rRNA from 1 species
GAUGAACGCUGGCGGCGUGCCUAAUACAUGCAAGUCGAGCGAACGGACGAGAAGCUUGCUUCACUGAUGUUAGCGGCGGACGGGUGAGUAACACGUGGAUAACCUACCUAUAAGACUGGGAUAACUUCGGGAAACCGGAGCUAAUACCGGAUAAUAUUUUGAACCGCAUGGUUCAAAAGUGAAAGACGGUCUUGCUGUCACUGAUAGAUGGAUCCGCGCUGCAUUAGCUAGUUGGUAAGGUAACGGCUUACCAAGGCAACGAUGCAUAGCCGACCUGAGAGGGUGAUCGGCCACACUGGAACUGAGACACGGUCCAGACUCCUACGGGAGGCAGCAGUAGGGAAUCUUCCGCAAUGGGCGAAAGCCUGACGGAGCAACGCCGCGUGAGUGAUGAAGGUCUUCGGAUCGUAAAACUCUGUUAUUAGGGAAGAACAUAUGUGUACGUAACUGUGCACAUCUUGACGGUACCUAAUCAGAAAGCCCCGGCUAACUACGUG